rnacentral:hammerhead_ribozyme from 1 species
AUCCAUCUGACCAGUCCCAAAUAGGACGAAACACACGUCCUGGAU